rnacentral:rRNA from 1 species
CACGUAGGGCGCAAGCGUUGUCCGGAAUUAUUGGGCGUAAAGAGCUCGUAGGCGGUCUGUUGCGUCCGCUGUGAAAACCCGGGGCUUAACCCCUGGCUUGCAGUGGAUACGGACAGACUAGAGGUAGGUAGGGGAGAAUGGAAUUCCCGGUGUAGCGGUGAAAUGCGCAGAUAUCGGGAGGAACACCGGUGGCGAAGGCGACUUUCUGGUCUGUAACUGACACUGAGGCGCGAAAGCGUGGGGAGCGAACAGG